AUGUUUUGUGUUCAUGGCGGGGGCGGGCAGGACACGGCUUACCACGAUCCUGGGAUCUCUGGCCGGCGGAGAGCGGCGCAGCGUCGUGUGCGUGACCGGGCCCGAUGGCGUGACCGGGCCCGAUGGCAGAGGCGGCUGUUAAUAAAUGCAAAAGUGCAGAAGACAGGAAGAGAGGGAGGCAAUGAACAGGUUCCUGACACACGUUCCCCUGAAUGUUUGCACAGUGUUGUUUUUACCAGGUGUCCUGGUGUCCUAAUAAAAGACUGA
rnacentral:lncRNA from 1 species